rnacentral:rRNA from 1 species
UAUAAGAGACAGCAGUCGCCGCGGUAAUACGGAGGGCGCGAGCGUUACCCGGAUUUACUGGGCGUAAAGGGCGUGUAGGCGGCCUGGGGCGUCCCAUGUGAAAGGCCACGGCUCAACCGUGGAGGAGCGUGGGAUACGCUCAGGCUAGAGGGUGGGAGAGGAUGGUGGAAUUCCCGGAGUAGCGGUGAAAUGCGCAGAUACCGGGAGGAACGCCGAUGGCGAAGGCAGCCACCUGGUCCACUUCUGACGCUGAGGCGCGAAAGCGUGGGGGAGCAAACCGGAUUAGAUACCCCUGUAGUCCCUGUCUCUUAUA